UAGUCAUUAACUAUUUCUGCAUUUUUAAUAAACUCAGUAUUUUCAGCAUUAGUAUAAAAGCAUGGAACAAUUUCAAAACUAUUAGUAUAAAAAAAAAGGAAAAAAUUCUGUAAAACCGGGAAAACCGGGAAAAACUUCUCCUUCUGUCAGUAAUGGUGGCCAUAAAGGAGGAUAUUACGGUAACGGGGGUCAUGGAAGUCAUUCCACUAAGGAAAAGGAAUCAGUUACUGUAGUCUAGAGUGAAAAAGACAACAAUUGUUGGCUUACCCCCCAUUUUACCACCUCCAGUUAUCGUUCAACCGGUAGUUAUUCUUCCAGUUUAGAAAAUUUUUGUAUGAGAACUGUUAAUAUAUUUUAAAGUUAAAAAAUAACUAGACAUGGUGAAAAUGGGGGUUAGUUAGUUUAAUAAGUGAUUUAAUAGUUUUUCAGAUUAUGAUCAAAUAUUGGAAAUAAAGUAAAUUUUAUGUUUU